rnacentral:lncRNA from 1 species
AAGUUCCCCUAUUUUUUCCCCCUAGAUCAACUCUACAUUAUUGCUAUUAUCAAACCCGAUGCUGUGAUUAGCAGAAAAUCUCAAGAGAUUAGACAAAAUAUUAUGAAGGCAGGCUUUGUCAUAGAGAUCGAGGAGAAGAGAGCGCUCACUGAACGACAAGUCAGGGACUUCUAUUAUCGGAUAGCAGACCAGCCUGACUUUGAAGAUUUUGUCCUUUUUAUGACGGUGGCCUGAGCCAUGUUCUAGUCCUAUCUCAGGGAACUGAGGAAGAGCCUG